GUGGAAGAGUAAACUGUUCCUGUUUCUCCAUCUUGACAGGAAGCAGAAGUUCUCCUUAGCUGAUUUUUCUUCUUGCCUUAUACUGGGUUCUUUAACACCAGAACAAAAAUAAAUAAAUAAAAGAAUCUUCCAGAAAUUCAUGAAGAGACUUCAGGUCAGGAAAGCCUGAACUUUCUCAUCCAACACCCGUUCAAGUCGGAGGAUGCUGAUUAAUUCAUGAUGGAAAGGUAUCAAUUUCACAGCCCAGACCUCUACAUUCUUGAAAUGCUCUUCUCAUGGGAGACAUUAAAUAAGCUUUGAAUUAACUGAGACCUCUGUGGAUUCUAUAACUCAAAGACCCAGGCUGACGGCUGGUGGAAUAGCUACCAUCUCAAACAUGGCGUGAUGCUGCAUCAGAGAGAAAAAUAAGCUCUUGCAUUGACAAUGAAAUGUCUACCCUGUAGUGACUUGUGCUUACUUCCACUCACAAGUGAUUGCCCAGAGCUACUUACCUGGCUCCAAUCUACCACUGGUAAGCCCUUAAGUAAAAGUGCCAUCAAAUGAUUUCUCAGAAAUUAUAAAGAAACAAAAGGACCAUAAACAAGAUAAGGUGGCAUGAGGAAACAUUACAAGUACCUUUCAGAGCUGACUGGCAAAGAAACUCCUGAGGUGACGGUUCUACCCCAAUAUUACUUCUUCGAAGAGCAACCUAACUGGACUUAUCUUCCUCAGUUCUCUGUGAUGAACUUUUGUAGAGCCAUACGAAAGGAGGUUUUUAGCUCUCACCUGUGGUCUUUCUUCAUCAUGCACCUCCUAGAUUCAAAAGUUCAGCAGGGACAUGUCAAGCUAUAUAAAUAAAAACAAACUAAGAAAA
rnacentral:lncRNA from 10 species